UACGGAGGGAGCUAGCGUUGUUCGGAUAUACUGGGCGUAAAGCGCACGUAGGCGGCGCCGUAAGUCAGGGGUGAAAUCCCGGAGCUCAACUCCGGAACUGCCUUUGAAACUGCAGUGCUAGAAUCCUGGAGAGGCGAGUGGAAUUCCGAGUGUAGAGGUGAAAUUCGUAGAUAUUCGGAAGAACACCAGUGGCGAAGGCGACUCGCUGGACAGGUAUUGACGCUGAGGUGCGAAAGCGUGGGGAGCAAACAGG
rnacentral:rRNA from 2 species